UCUACAGGGCUAUCACCUUCUUUGGCCAGAUCUUCCAAUCUUUUCACAAUUACAGUUCACUGCGCCCGCUCCUUUAAAUUUAAAGGGCGGCGGCUUUCAAGCUUACCUUAUUAUUAGAGAAAGGUUUGGAACGAAGUAGCUCGCCUAAAAGGAGAGGAACGAAGCUUCGUGUUUGUUUUUCUUCAAACCCCAAUCCGCUCUCGCUCGCCGCUACUAACGGGGUCUCGGUUGAUUUCCCUUCCUUUAGCUACUAAGAUGUUUCAGUUCGCUAAGUUUGAAAAGUCCAAAGA